ACUUGGACCAACAAACCUACCAUUCAAACCAAAAUUCAAUGCCGAUUCCGAAUAAGAGAUUAGUUUUUAAUUUUGAAAAUGUUUUAACAAAACAGAAAAAAAUUAAAUUAGCCUAUAAAAGAACUUUAAUCUUUCAAAAGCAUGUUGUAUCAGUUGGUUAAAGCGCUGUAUUUAAGCAUAGAGCUUGUGAGUUCGAUGCUCUUAAAGUAUACGAUUUUAUUUAAUCGGAAUAAAAUCCGUAGAAUUGAACCACACCGCCAUGGCGCCAUCAGGUCUUCUGCUAUAUCUGCAAUGGCGGACCAAAAGUUACAACAGCCUUUGCUUUGUUGAUUUUGUGUGUUUUAUCCUUGUUUUCGUGCGUUUUUAGCAUCAAUGACGGAAGUGAUAUCUCGUAGAAGCAGAAAACCCAGUCUGGAUCCAGCCGAUUUGAUUACUACGGUUGUUCUAGCAAUUCAACUUCAUCGCCCAUGCCAGUGUUUCUAAGCUAGAUUGCCAAUGAUAAAUCUUCGCCUUUUCUUCUUCCUCAUCAUCUUCAAGCUGAUAGUAUUCGCCUCCUGUCUUCAAGCGGAUCGUCUUCGCUUCCCGUCUUCAAGCUCAUCAUCUUCGCUUCCCGUCUUCAAGCUCAUCAUCUUCGCUUCCCGUCUUCGCUUCCCGUCUUCGCUUCCCGUCUUCGCUUCCCGUCUUCACUUCCCUUCUUUGCUUCCCUUCUUCAAGAUGGUCAUCUCACCGUCACGAGCUAAUCUACUUUGCCGUAUCGCCUCUGAUCGCGCCCGUCUUCGCCUCAUCGCCGUCGUCGUGGAGCCUCGUGUUUUUGGUAUUGUUUUGUUUAGUGUUGUUGUUUAGUGUAUGUUGUAAGUUAACCCGUUGGCUGCCACCCAUUUUGCUCCCCCUUUUUUUAUUAGUUGUAGGGACCGGCGGCGCUGUUCUACCCCAUGCCUGAUCGACCAUGGGGUGGGGCAGUCGCCUUGCGCCUUAGGGCGCCGUAGGCAAUGCACCAGUAGGGACUUCCCCUUGUCGAUGCGAUGGUGGAGUACCUGGGGUGUGCAUUCCCGUAAAGGUCUCCAUUGUCAAGUCAGCCCGGACUUGUCUUCGGACAAGUCCCCCUUUCAUCGAAUCCCUCAGAAACGAUGCGUAGCGAUUGUAGUAGAACAACCUACGGGUUGUAAUGGCUUGGCAGCCAACGGGUUAACUUAGUGUUUUGUAUGUAUGCAUGUAUGUUUGUAUUUAUUGUAUUUAUUGUAUAACUUGUAACGUAUUGAAUAACAUGUAAUGUAAAACAGUGGUGGAAUUGUGGGUGGAGGUGGGCUAAUACAAAACCAAUUCCAUUUA